CUUUAUUUUUUCUCCUUUGUAUCCUGGCCGCCGUUCUAUCCAUUUUUUGUUAUAAUUUUUCCACCCAUUUAUGACUUUGUUUCUUCGGUUCUUUAAUAUUCAUUUUGUGUUCGGUGUUGGGAGUGUUUAUCACUUCUCGUCAGGAGAGAACCGUGAGUUGGGUGGUGUUCCUCCUGCGAUUUAAGUGUUGCGUGGUUGUUGUUCGUUGAAGGUAAUCUUUAGACUUAAGCGGGUCGGUGCGACGGGAGCUCGGUUAUUAAAGUUUUGUGUUCAUUUUAGAUAUUUUUUAAUUUGAGAUUUAAGAGGUUUGUAAAUUUUGGACUGAUUUGGGUUUGGACUAUAAUUUUCGUUUCCGUAUAAUAUUAUUUAAACGUUUUAUCGAUAA